AGAUGACAUGUUCCCAUUCAAGCUGAAAAGAAAACAAUUUCCAAUUCGACUUAGCUUUUCCAUGACGAUUAAUAAAGCUCAAGGUCAAACAAUUCCGAACGUUGGUAUUUAUCUACCGGAUUCUGUAUUUUCACAUGGACAACUUUAUGUCGCGUUAUCAAGAGGGAUUUCAAGACAAAGUACGAAGGUGUUGGUACAUCUCGCCAAAGAAUUCAAACAACGCGGAGUUUACACAUCAAAUGUUGUCUACCAGGAAGUGUUGCGUGAUUAAUUAAUCGCAUCCGUAUCAAAACGAAGGAGAGGAGAAGAUACAAGAAAGUCAUAAGCGAACGGAUGUAUUGGUAAAACAGGAAGAGAUACAAGAGACUCCCCGCAUUUUGUUUUUAUUGUUUUGUCCAGCUACUUGACUGUUUUGAACUCUUCUUGUUUUUAAUUACAUCUACUUCCUUGUUUUGUA